rnacentral:lncRNA from 1 species
AUGAGCGCACAAAGCUCGCGGGCCUCCGAGUGGGGCGGGGCGGGAGCCCAGUGGUGGCGGCUGCGGCCAGGCCUGCACCUUCCCCGGCCGCAUUUCGGUAGGGCCCACAGCCCGGCUGGAGGGGAAGGUGCCGAAGCGCUGGGUCAUCGCGGCUGCGAGGUCGGAGAGACCAGGGCCUGGCCGCCCACCCCACGAGCCGCGCCCUGCCCCAAGCGCCCCGCCCCCGUCCGUGUUCCAGCCGGGAGGCCCGCGGCGUCCUGCACCGUCACCCUGUUCCCUGUGACCGCCCACCUGAUACCCAAACAGCUUCCUCGCCCCUCCAGUCCCCAGCUCGCCGAGCGCUUGCUGAGAGCCACCCAGCCUCAGUUUCCCCAGCCCCGGGCGGCGCGAGGGGCGAUGACGUCAUGCCGGCGCGCGGCAUUGUGGGGCGGGGCGAGGCGGGGCGCCGCGGGAGCAACACUGAGACGCCAUUUUCGGCGGCGGGAGAGGCGCAGGCGGCCGAGCGGGACUGGCUGGGUCGGCUUUGCUGCCGCUGCGGGGAGGAGCCGCGGGGCUGUGCUCGGCGGCCAAGGGGACAGCGCGCGGGCGGCUGAGGAUGCUACGGGGCGGCGGCGCCCCUCGCUCGUGACUGCUGCGCCGCGCCUCACACAGCCGAGGCGGGCUCGGCGCGCGGUCGCUGCUCCGCGCGCGCGCCCGGCGGCGCUCCUGGUGCUGACAGCGCGAGACAGCGCGGCCCUCAGGAGCUGGACGGUGAGUCCCCGGCGUGCGCCCCGGACCGCGGCCCCGGCCCCCUCCUCAUCCUCCGCCCCGUCCCUGUCUCGCUUCUUUUCGGACUCGCCCCGGGCGCAACUCCGUCUCCAUCCAGGUUCCUGUCCCAGACCCUGUCGGUUCCCACCCCGGUACCCGCCCCAGUUCACCGCCCCGGCCGGUCCGCGACCCCUUGCAGGUUCAGGUCGGGUUCCUGUCCCCGGCCCCUUUCCCAGCCCCGGCUCCCGGCGCCGUGCGUCCUCCCCAUCCGCGUCCCACUGCAGGUUCCGGUCCCCGACCCUGCCCAGGGCCCCGCCCUGGUCCCGCAUCCGCGGCUCGGCCCAGCUGCGGGCGGCGGCGGCCUUUCCCGGGGACAGCUGUGGACCCCGGGAGCCCGCGACAGGGGAGGUGGCCGCCCCCGGGAUCGCGGCGGGCGGGGAGGCCGGAGGCCCAGCGGGGCUGGCUUUGUCCGAUUCCUCCUCUUCCUUCCACCCCCGCCUCUCCCGGCACCGCCCUGAGCGGACGCGCCUGUCAUCCUUGCGGGCGGCGGGGGGCCGGGUCCCUCCCGAGAGCCGACUCCGCUUCGCCUCUUUGGCGACCCCUUUUUUUCGGUAA